rnacentral:rRNA from 1 species
AUUGAACGCUGGCGGCAGGCCUAACACAUGCAAGUCGAACGAGUGGCGGACGGGUGAGUAAUGUCUGGGAAACUGCCUGAUGGAGGGGGAUAACUACUGGAAACGGUAGCUAAUACCGCAUACCAUCGGAUGUGCCCAGAUGGGAUUAGCUAGUAGGUGGGGUAAAGGCUCACCUAGGCGACGAUCCCUAGCUGGUCUGAGAGGAUGACCAGCAACCCUGGAACUGAGACACGGCCCAGACGCCUACGGGAGGCAGCAGUGGGGAAUAUUGCACAAUGGGGGCAAGCCUGAUGCAGCCAUGCCGCGUGUAUGAAGAAGGCCCUAGGGUUGUAAAGUACUUUCAGUCGGGAGGCGUUACCGACAGAAUAAGCACCGGCUAACUCCGUGCCAGCCGCCGCGGUAAUUC